GUUGGUGUAGCUCACUGGUAGAGUGCAUGUUCUGUAUGUACGAUGUCCUGGGUUCCAUCCCCAUGCAUCUCCA